AAAAUUAGUUAAAGUCUAUAACAUUAGUAUGUCAAACUAAAAUUAUUAAAAUAUUUAAUAUUUUUUG
rnacentral:tRNA from 1 species